rnacentral:lncRNA from 10 species
ACAGCCAUGGCUUAAAUGUUUUGGGUGAAAUACAAAGUAGUUCUAUUCAUUGCAACAUGUGUUUUGGAAUCUACUUCUGGAGUGAAGGCCUCUUAGUGUCAGCAGUUAAUUGAGGCUUGGCCCUGGGGAGAUAGGAAUAGCAUGUUGUCAUAAUAUGCUAACAGGCUACUGAAGAUGAUACAAAAACAUUACCUAUAGUAACAUACCAAUAACUUAAAGAUGUAAUUCAUCAAAUAGAGCAUGAUUUGUCAAUAUGUAGAACACAAGGUAUGUAAGAGUAGAAACAAAAUUACCAAAAAAGUAAUAGGUGAUCUAAAAUAAAUUAUAGCAAAAAAUUGCAAAUCCCAAUUCCAAACCCAAUUUACUUAAAAUUUUACUCUUAAUUUACUGAAAAGCAAUACAGUGCUUAAUUGUACAAAAGGCCACAUAUAUCUAAAGAAAUCUCUCCAUCUAUUACAGUAUGCUUGGAUGAGUCACUUUCCAUAGAUUUGCCAUCCUCAAAAGUACAGUGUCUCCAAUAAAAUGAGCUCAAGGAGAAGGAGAGACAUUUCCAUUGUUGUAUGAUAGAAGCUUUAUGUGUGUCACAGCAAUUACCACGGAGGGAGUGUCCGAUGCUUAAGGAGAAUGACAGAAUAGAAGGAAAUGCAAAAUUCAAGCACAGAUGAAAUGAUGGCAAAGAAAGAACCACCACGGUGUUUAAUGAACAAUGCUGCAACUAUUCAUUACGCCUCUUCUCCAGCUGAUCAUUAAGCUUUCAGCACUGUUUAUGCAACAGAAAAGGAAAUGUUGACUGAAGAUUUCAUACACUUACUAUUCACACAAAGAAGAAACCAUGAACAGUAUAAUCUGCAAUUAUAGUACCUGCCGAAACUGGAUCACUGUCAUUGAACCUGGUUAUUAGUUGUUGUAAGCACUGUCAGAGGCAAGAUAACUUCUGAAUUGGGGAUCUGUCUGGUAUGAUCAUUGGAGAUACGGACUUGAAAGCUCAUGAAAUAAAUUAUAUAAAAUUAAACUGGUUUAAACAAUAUCCAAAUGGUUUUCAAUAUCUAUGACCUCAUGGUAGAAGAAAUCAUUCCUUUAAUUUCACAAAUUAGAGGCUUCUAAAAAGUCAAAUUUUUCUGUCACUACUUUUAACCAUCUUCACCAUGCCAUUAUUGUAGAAUAACAUAAUUCAGUGUUUAUUAAAUAGAAAAAACAAUGAGUGUAAUUCAUAUAUGCCAACAUCAUUUGUAGCAGAAAUACAGGCUACUCUAUAAAAAAUAUACUGAAUGAAUGACUCUUAUAGUUAGCUUACCUUUAAUAACCUGCUGGGCAUACACUUUCAUCUUGUACCAAUCAGGAAAACACUUUACAAACUUACCAACUGAGAAGAGGUGCCUGAAAGUAUAUGUUGUAUAGAGUACCGUAGAAACAAUUACUCAUAGGACACUUUGGAAGAAACUUGAAUUAUCAAAAUAAUUGAAUCCCUAGCAUUAAGUGAUAUACCUAAUGCUAAAUGAUGAGUUAAUGGGUGCAACACACCAACAUGGCACAUGUAUACACAUAUGUAACAAACCUGCACGAUGUGCACAUGUACCCUAAAACUUAAAGUAUAAUAAUAAAAUAAUAAUAAUAAUUGAAUCCUAUGUCUACUACUUACCAUCUUAUUCAUUAAUGAACAUAUCUCCUUAACUUCAAUUUUCUGAUCUACAAAAUUGGGACAUAAGUAUCUAUCUUGCAGAGCUGCUGUGGGAAUUAUACAUAAUUAGAUAAGAUCGUGGAUCUGAAGGAUUCUAGGAAGAAGUCUGCCAUGGUCAUAUAGCAGGCAUAUUGUUGUGCUAGCUUCAGUCCACCCUUCUUAGAGGCUUGAUCCUCUUUCAUUAUAUCCUGAGUCAUAUGUGAUCAGAAAGAACAAAUUUCUUUUUUUCUUUUCUUUUUUUUUUUUUUUUUUGAGAUGGAGCGUUGCUCUGUUGCCCAGGCUGGAGUGCAGUGGCACGAUCUCAGCUCACUGCAACCUCUGCCUCCCGGGUUCAAGCAAUUCUCUGCCUCAGCCUCCCAAGUAGCUGGGAUUACAGGUGCCCACCAUCACGCCUGGCUAACUUUCUUGUACUUUUAGUAGAGAUGGGGUUUCACCAUCUUGGCCAGGCUGGUCUUGAACUCCUCACCUUGUGAUUCACCCGCCUUGGCCUCCCAAAGUGCUGGGAUUACAGGCAUGAGCCACCGUGCCUGACCAGAAAGAACAAAUUUCUGAACAAAAAGAUCAGAAAGACCAUGACCCUUUGGACGGUGACUAGAAGCUAUCAAACACCUACUAUCUUAAAAAACAACACUGAAAACUGGAAAUGAAUCUAUGUGAUCUAUAAUAUUUUCAGCAAUGACUAAUCCUUUCUUGUACUGUUUUUGCUUAAAGGUAAUUGAAAUACUUAAGAUUGUACAACAUACAACCUGCAGAGUACAUUUCAGAGGGAUGAUGCAUGAGUAAAUAUCGCUUUGGAGCUAAUUUGAUAAAAUAUAUUGUUCCAAAUUAACUUUAGAUUCCAAAGUAAAUUCAGAAAUGGUUUUGAAAUAAUUGUGAAGAAUUACUUCUUACCUAUGUCAAGCAGUAGAUUACAUGCUGAUAUAGUUGGGAUAUUUGUCCCCAGCUAAACCUCAUGUAGAAUUGAAAUCCCCAAUGCUGGGGGGCAGAACCUGGUGGAGGUGUGUGGAUCAUGGAGGUGGGUCACUCAUGGCUUGGUGCUGUCUUCAUGACGUGAGUUCUCACAAGAUCUGGUCAUUAAAAAGUGUAUGGCACUUCCUCUCUCUCUCUCUCUCCUCUCUCUCCUCUCUCUCAAUCUCUCUCUCUCUCUCUUUCUCUCAAUCUCUCUCUCCUCUCUCUCUCUCUCCUCUCUCUCAAUCUCUCUCUCCUGCUUUCACCAUCUGACGUGUUUGCUCCUGCUUCACCUCCUUCCACCAUGACUGUUAGCUUCCUGAGACCUCCACAGAAGCCAAGAGAUAUCAGCAUCCAGCUUUCUAUAAAACCUGCAGAACUAUGAGCCAAUUAAGUCUCUUUUAUUUAUAAAUUAGCCAGUCUCAGGUAUUUCUUUAUAGCAACACAAGAAUGGCUUAUACACGUGCCUUAUCCUGAAUUGCCCAGAGUUCAGACUCUUUUUAAUGGGAGAUGUAAUGGCAUUGUUUUUAGUCAUAAUCUCUCCUGAACAAUGAAACAAAAAAGCUUUCUGCCUGGUUUCUUAAAAGUGCAUGCAGAAUAAACACUUCCUUCUCUCUAAGAAUGGGAGUGAGUAUCUUCCGAAACUUCAUCUCCUGUUAAUGGGCAAUUAAGUACUAUUGGGAAAAGGGGGAACGAUGAGGUUCAUCUGAUUGUGUUUUGUUUAGUUGGGCUUUUAGAGAAUGAAUAGUAAAAAGAGUGUGGGUGUGGAAAUCCAAGAAUAGGCACCGUCAGGUGAUAAAUCUCAAGGUAUAGAAGUAAAAUGAAGAGCCCCUGGAAGACUGAAUACUGAUUCUUGAAAAAGUUCCCAAGGAGAGAGAGGGACCACAACCCAAAAUGGUGGACCAGGGGAGGACAGUGAUGACAGCCUUUGUUCUAGAGCCCAGGGAUUGUGUGGAAAUUGAAUCCCCCAUCUCUUUCAAGACUUCUAAGUCUGGUUUCAGGGAAAUCUUUUGUUGCAUAAUAAAGAAUUUAACUGGCCUUUGAACCUGGUUCCUGGAAGACAGAAUCUAUAUCCUUGGAAUUUCCCAGGUAAUAGAAGAGUCUUUGAUAUUCAUGAUCCCUUGGAUCAAACUUUUGAGUUUAUGCUCAUGAGAUGAGAUGACUGAGAAUGGAAGCUGGUCAACAGAAAGACCUAACAUGUAAUUAGAGAGUUAAAGCUCUGAACCAGCCUGACCUCCAGAAAAGUGAGGGAGUUGGAGCUUGAGUUCAAUAAUGGGGCCAAUGUUUAAUCAAUUACAUCUAUGUAAUGAACAGGGAAGUUUGCUGAAACUUCCCGCUUGGUGAAUACAUCAAUGUGCCAGGAAAGUGAUGUAAGCAGACAGGGAGGGUCUCCAGGGACUAUAGAAGUUUAACCAGCUUGAACAAUCAGCCUGUUUUAUAGCCUCCCACUUUUCAGCCUGUUUUUUACAAACCGUCCAUGGAAUGCAGUCACCUAGUCAGCUGGAACCAGUUCCAGACAGACCCCAGCAACUUAUAGAUGAAUCUGAGUGAAGCUUCCUCAUUACCAUGCUAAAGUCUCUACGCUGGGAGGAGCUACAGAUUCAUCACCAUAACAUGUAACCUAUGUGCUGGCAUAAUGUCUCAGUCUGCACCACUGGUGCCCCUCCUCUACAUGCGAUGAUGCACCUUCUCCCCUCUCCACAACUCCAUAAAACCCACCUGUCACUUUUCCUCGGGGAGACACUGCUUUGGAGAAUAUUCCCGGUGUUCUCCUACCUUGGGACAAGUAAUAGUGACAAGCCCUUAUUCUACAAGAAGAGAGCACAAAAGCUCUGUUUGAGACCCUCUCAGAAACUGCCCUGUGUGUCUCUUCAUUCAGCUGCUCCUGAGUUGUAUCUUCUACAAUAAAACUAUGGGGCUUAUAUUAUAUUUCUAUGUAUCUCUCAUCUUGACCAAGAGACGGGCCUGUACCAAGAGCAGAGGAAUAAGUAAGCAUUUACUGAAACCUCAAAGCUUCCCUGAUGUCCAGGCUGUCCAGAGGACAGAACAAUUAUCACCAUUAUCAUGCUAAUUUUCUGUCUCCUCAGCAGGUAGAAGGAAUAAACCUGCAUUCUCAUCGAGGAGGCUCUCAGGGAUCUCACAGAGAGGUGCUAGAUAAACUCCAGGUGUCCUCCACAUCUCAGCAGGAAGCUAACUCAGUAUUCUCUCCUGAUUCAUUUACUGGAGUGAUAAACCCACACUCCGUAUUUAAUGAUGCCAAAUAGCUCCUUAUUACUUGUGGAUUCAAGAAACUUCUGUAGCUGAGCACCAAGGAUAUUUUCCAACAUUAUUUGAUGCCUUGUGUUUUGGCAAAAAAAAAAAAAACUAAAGAAGUGUGAGCUGACUUUAACAAUUUCAGGAGAAACUUAAAGAAAUAAGGUCCUAAUUGCCCAACACCCACCUCAUCUCCUUUUUGGCCACUCAGGAAAACCCUGUAUUUUUCUGUAAUUGUGCCAUGAUGAAGAAUCUAGCCUCUCCAAGGCAGCUGACCAACCACGAGCAGAGCACAUGCUUUUAUACUCAAUUCUGAAUAUCAAGCACAAUCCAACCUACAACAAGCACUUGAGGGUCUGAGGAUGGGAAAGCAAAUAGCCUCAAGUCUGAUUAAUGCUUAAAAUAUAAAAAAGAUCUUUUUUUAGGGAGGAGCAGUACAGCACACAUCCCAGUGUUGCCACAAAAACCAUAUAUUUAAUACCUAAUUUCCAAAGAGAAUAGUCCCUUAAUGAGAAGCAAACUUUUAAUAAGUUAUAAAUUAUCCCAAUGCAAGCCAUUUCUCCACGUGAUCUUUGAUAAAAACAAAACUGGAGCCUUCACAGGAUACACUAAUUAAUGAAUCAUAACUUAAAUAAAUAGCAGCUAGUAUUUGUGUCGUUAGUUUAAAAGUACUUUCAUAUCUUAUUUGAAUCAUCAGAUAAUCUAUAACUCACAUAAAGGAGGCCCUGUUUUCUCUGUUUUACAGAUAAGGAAAACCCAAGAGUUUACACCCAGUAAAUGACCAAAGCAAAAAUGGAAUCAUACAAUUCAUGUCUUUCUUUUUUUUUUUUUUUUUUUUGCUUUCUGUUUUUAAAGACAGGCUAUCACUCUGUUGUCCAGACUGGAGUACAGUGACAUGAUCACAGUUCACUGCAUCCUUGAACUCCUGAGUUUAAGCAAUCCUCCUGCUUCAGCCUCCUGAGUAGCUAGAACUACAGGCACACACCCCCAUGCCCAGCUGAUUUUUAAAUUUUUGUUUGUUUGUUUGUUUGUUUGUUUUCAGAAACAGGGUCUCGCAAUGUUGCCCAGGCUGGUCUCGAACUCCCAGUCUCAACCAAUCCUGCUGCCUCGGCCUCCCAAAGUACUGGGAUUAUAGGUGUGAGCCACUGCGCCUGGCCAAUUCAAGUCUCCUAAGAGCAAAUUGAGCAUUUUUGAAAUGUACCCAUCAGAUGCCCCACUGCAAUCUACUUCAGUGCUGAGAUUUCAGUAUUUGAAAGACCUACUGGAAUUUAUUUUUAAAAUUCUAAAAGAAUACGUGGGCAUGGUCCUUGGAGUUGUGAGUGCUGGAUACAAAUAUGAAGUUACAUGAAGAGGAGUGUGAAAAGAAUUGAAGAAAUUUUAAGUGAUUUUUAAUUUUAUUUUUUAUUAUAAAGGUAAUACGUGUUCAUUGUAAAAAUAUAAACUAUAUUUAAUUUCCCAUAAUUUCACAGCCAGAGAAAACCAUCAGGAAUACGUCAAUAAUUACUGCUGUGCAUGCAGAGGUGAUGGUCGAUAUAUUUAGCCAAUGUGGCAUGCCAGAAGCAGAGGACAGCCCUUACAGCUGCCCGCCUUAGAGAGUGUGCAUAGCUGUACCGCUUGAUACAAGUGCCACAAGAGCUCUGGAUGUAUGCCAUGUUUUUAAUGGAAUCAUACAAUUUUACAGAUUUUCAACCUCCUUUUUAAAAGCUGAAAUAUAUUUUAAACAUCUUUUAAAGUAUGUUUCAAUUUUUCUAUAUACAUAAAGUCUGCACUGGAGUAAAAGUGUGAUCUCCCUUCUGGAAAGAAAAGGCUGUGAUUCACGGUGGCUUUCGUUAUUUAUCAGACAUUCCACGUGGAUUCACCAACCAUCUCUACUUCAAAAGUGCUGGCUGGGAGCGGUGGCUCAUGCCUGUAAUCCCAGCACUUU